ACGGGCAUAGUUCAAUGGUAGAAUAGAGGUCUCCAAAACCUUUGAUACUGGUUCGAAUCCGGUUGCCCGUGCCA
rnacentral:tRNA from 1 species